rnacentral:rRNA from 1 species
AGGGUUCGAUUCUGGCUCAGGAUGAACGCUAGCGACAGGCUUAACACAUGCAAGUCGAGGGGCAGCAUAAAAGUAGCAAUACGUUGGUGGCGACCGGCGCACGGGUGAGUAACGCGUAUGCAACCUACCUAUCAGAGGGGAAUAACCCGGCGAAAGUCGGACUAAUACCGCAUAAAACAGGGGCACCGCAUGGUGAUAUUUGUUAAAGAAAUUCGCUGAUAGAUGGGCAUGCGUUCCACUAGGUAGUUGGUGAGGUAACGGCUCACCAAGCCGACGAUGGAUAGGGGAACUGAGAGGUUGGUCCCCCACACUGGUACUGAGACACGGACCAGACUCCUACGGGAGGCAGCAGUGAGGAAUAUUGGUCAAUGGGCGGGAGCCUGAACCAGCCAAGUCGCGUGAAGGAAGAAGGAUCUAUGGUUCGUAAACUUCUUUUGCAGGGGAAUAAAGUGCAGGACGUGUCCUGUUUUGUAUGUACCCUGAGAAUAAGGAUCGGCUAACUCCGUGCCAGCCGCCGC